rnacentral:lncRNA from 1 species
GUCAUUGGUGAUUUUUAGUUGCUAAGUUGUGUCCAACUCUUGCGACCCCAUGUACCUGUCAGACUCUUCUGUCCAUGGGAUUUCCCAGGCAAGAUUACUUGAGUGGAUUGCCAUUUCCUUCUCCAAGGGGUUUUCACAACCCACGGACCUAACCCAGCUCUCCUGCAUCGCAGUCAGAUUCUUUACCAUCUGAGCUAUCAGGGAAUCCCUUAUGUCACUGUGCUAUAUCUAAUAAUGAAUACAAAUAUUAGUCAAAAUAUCUCUUCAAAAUAUUGUUCUAAAUUAUUAUGUGAGUGAUUAAAAACUUUAGGGAGCUCUGUGCCUCUAUAAUAAGGGGAGCAUAAUUUAAUUUGGGGGAAUCAAAGAAUAAUUUAUGGACUGCUAAUGAGGUUAAAUACAAGUGACAAGGUGAAGUAGUUGAGUAUGUGGGACUGCAGGCAGAGGUAGCAUGUGCAAAUACUGGUAUAAUAAUAGAUCAGCAUUCAGUUUGACUGUUUGUGCCCCUGAAUUGCAUGAAUUAGAGAGUGGUUUGAAAUGAGAUACAAGAGGCAAGUUAGAACAGAUAGUUCUGGGUCUUGAAACCCAUAGUAAGGAUCUUAGUUUCUUAUACUCAGUCAUGGGCUCUUAGUGUUAAGAACUGAUAUGUUUCUUUAUGUUUAAAGUUUACACUGGCUACAUAGUACGUGAUGAACUGGGGGAAACAACUGUAUAUUUGGAGAAUAUUUAAAUCAAUAUUUCAGUAGUUCAGAAAAGAGAUGCUGGUAGCUCUGUCUGGUAGUUAAAGAUGGAGACGGAUAGGGACUCACAGAUGAGAAUUUUUUUUUUUUUUAAGUAAAAUCAACAGAACUUGGUGAAUUUUUGGACAGAGUUAUUAGUGAAGGAGUUUUGUCAAGGGUAUAGCUUUCUCAGAUUCUGGAAUUUUCUUUCCAGGUAUCUGACUUGGGAGGCUAAGUGAAUUUUUGACAUAUGAUUCCUAGUUCCUUUCACAUUUCUGAGUUGAAAUGUCAAGCGACCUCUUGGAUGUAUGGGAUAUAUAAGGGUAGCGUUACGUUCAGUUGGCAUUCAUAUCCUUUCGCUAUUUACUUUUUCCUCUCUGGACCUUCUCCAGUAUCAUUCUUAAAAUGUGAUGACCAGAAGUGCUUGCAGUAUUCAAGGUACAGGUGCACUAAGGUUUUCUACAAGAAUAGGAUAAUAUGGGCUUUUUGGGAUUUGCUUUUGCUUUUAUGUUUGCUGGCUUCCAAGAGCUCUCCUGAGGGUGUUAAGUAUUGUAUUGGUGUCUUUGUCUACUGCAUUUCAUUGGCUUGAUGUCCACAGGGAUGAAGCUCCAGCUUCCAACACUGAUACUCAUCAUAUUGUCUUAAGGGUGUCACAGAUGCCCUCAGCUGCUGUUAUAAGCUGGCAAUUCAAAUAUCCCUUUUGCCACUGCCUGAAUGAAGCCCACUCUAACAGAAGGAAUGUGGAUGAAUGAAGAUGUCAAGCUCUCUUUGAGGUCACUACCUUUAUCCUAGUCAUAAGUAUUCUGUAAACUGAUGUUUUCUACCCCUAACAAUUGCAGUAUUCAAAUAAAAUGUUAAUUUUCCCUAAAAAGAAAGGGCA